AGUGAACGCUGGCGGUAGGCCUAACACAUGCAAGUCGAACGGCAGCACAGUAAGAGCUUGCUCUUACGGGUGGCGAGUGGCGGACGGGUGAGGAAUACAUCGGAAUCUACUUUUUCGUGGGGGAUAACGUAGGGAAACUUACGCUAAUACCGCAUACGACCUACGGGUGAAAGCAGGGGAUCUUCGGACCUUGCGCGAUUGAAUGAGCCGAUGUCGGAUUAGCUAGUUGGCGGGGUAACGGCCCACCAAGGCGACGAUCCGUAGCUGGUCUGAGAGGAUGAUCAGCCACACUGGAACUGAGACACGGUCCAGACUCCUACGGGAGGGAGCAGUGGGGAAUAUUGGACAAAGGGCGCAAGCCUGAUCCAGCCAUACCGCGUGGGUGAAGAAGGCCUUCGGGUUGUAAAGCCCUUUUGUUGGGAAAGAAAAGCAGCAGGUUAAUACCCCGCUGUUCUGACGGUACCCAAAGAAUAAGCACCGGCUAACUUCGUG
rnacentral:rRNA from 1 species